rnacentral:rRNA from 1 species
GCUAACUACGUGCCAGCAGCCGCGGUAAUACGUAGGGGGCAAGCGUUGUCCGGAAUUACUGGGCGUAAAGGGCACGCAGGCGGUAUUUAAAGUCAGAUGUGAAAGUCCACGGCUCAACCGUGGAAUUGCAUUUGAAACUUAAGUACUUGAGUGCAGGAGAGGAGAGCGGAAUUCCUAGUGUAGCGGUGAAAUGCGUAGAGAUUAGGAAGAACACCAGUGGCGAAGGCGGCUCUCUGGACUGUAACUGACGCUGAGGUGCGAAAGCGUGGGUAGCGAACAGGAUUAGAUACCCUUGUAGUC